AAGACUAUAGACCUGCGGAGUACCUGCGGAAGGAUCAUUAUUGAAUUAUGUUUCUAAAUGGGUUGUAGCUGGCUCGUCAGAGCAUGUGCACGCCUGUUUGGACUUCAUUUUCAUCCACCUGUGCACCUAUUGUAGUCUUUGGUUGGGUAUCAAGGAAGUGGUCAGCCUAUCAGCACUUGCUGGAUGUGUGGACUUGCAGUGUGAAAGCUUUGCUGUCCUUUACUUGAUCAUGGAGUUGUU
rnacentral:misc_RNA from 1 species